UACGUAGGGUGCGAGCGUUGUCCGGAAUUAUUGGGCGUAAAGAGCUUGUAGGCGGUCUGUCGCGUCUGCUGUGAAAAUCCGGGGCUCAACCCCGGACUUGCAGUGGGUACGGGCAGACUAGAGUGUGGUAGGGGAGACUGGAAUUCCUGGUGUAGCGGUGAAAUGCGCAGAUAUCAGGAGGAACACCGGUGGCGAAGGCGGGUCUCUGGGCCGAUACUGACGCUGAGGCGCGAAAGCCAGGGGAGCAAACGGG
rnacentral:rRNA from 1 species